rnacentral:rRNA from 1 species
GAUGUUGGGUUAAGUCCCGCAACGAGCGCAACCCGCGUCCUUAGUUGCCAGCAUUCAGUUGGGCACUCUGGGGAGACUGCCGGUGACAAGCCGGAGGAAGGUGCGGAUGACGUCAAGUCAGCAUGCCCCUUAUGCUCUGGGCUACACACGUGCUACAAUGGCGCGGACAAAGGGCAGCGAACGCGCGAGCGGGAGCCAAUCCCAAAAACCGCGUCUCAGUUCAGAUCGCAGGCUGCAACUCGCCUGCGUGAAGGCGGAAUCGCUAGUAAUCGCAGAUCAGCAUGCUGCGGUGAAUACGUUCCCGGGCCUUGUACACACCGCCCGUCACACCAUGGGAGCUGGCCAUGCCCGAAGUCGGAGCACCCGCCGAAGGCAGGGCUGGUGACUGGGGUGAAGUCGUAACAAGGUAGCCGUACCGGAAGGUGCGGCUGGAUCACCUCCUUU